rnacentral:rRNA from 1 species
GACGAACGCUGGCGGCGUGCUUAACACAUGCAAGUCGAGGGCACUAUGGGGGCAACCUUGUAGUGACCGGCGAACGGGUGCGUAACACGUGAGCGACCUUGCCUCGUGGUGGGGAUAGCCGGCCCAACGCCGGGUAAUACCGCAUAUGGUGCUUCUCUCGCAUGGGAGAGGUAGCAAAGCCUUGCAGCAAUGCAAUGGCGCCACAGGGGGGC